CAGAGGUCCUUUCGGCACGGCUGGUGGCGGAGUUACUGAGAAAGGAGAGUGCUCGCCAGUCGCUCGACGGAACUCCGGUGCCGCGGGAAGACCCCCGAAAUCUGCCCGGACCGAGAAGGACAUAGUGAGAGAGAAGAUAGGACUGGCAAUCACCUACUCACCAGCCUGCUGACACUAGCCAGGCCACUCUGCCUGUGUUCUGCCUACAUGCCAGAAGAGGACACCAGAUCUCAUUACGGAUGGUUGUGAGCCACCAUGUGGUUUCUCAGAACUGAACUCAGGACCCCUGGAAGAGCCAGUCCUCUUAACCUCUAAGCCAUCUCUCCAGCCCCAAGGAUUCCCUAGAAUUUGAGUUAUAGACAGUUGUGAACUGCCUUACUUGGAAACAAAUCCAUGUCCUCUGCAAGAGCAACAAGUGCUCUUAACGCGUUGGCCAUCUCUCUAACCCCUAAAAUAACUUUUAUAGCUACCAACCCUAAAAAGAAGAGUGCCUUUUUAUCAGUUGAUGUCAUGCCAGGAAAUUUGUACCACCCAUUUCCUACACUGUAUUUCAGAAAAAUCUAACCUUAAGAUUAAAGUGCACUGUGUGUGAAGUUAU